rnacentral:rRNA from 1 species
UACAGAGGGUGCAAGCGUUAAUCGGAAUUACUGGGCGUAAAGCGCACGUAGGCGGUUUUUUAAGUCAGAUGUGAAAGCCCCGGGCUCAACCUGGGAAUUGCAUUUGAAACUGGCCAACUAGAGUACGUGAGAGGGGGGUAGAAUUCCAAGUGUAGCGGUGAAAUGCGUAGAGAUUUGGAGGAAUACCAGUGGCGAAGGCGGCCCCCUGGCACAACACUGACGCUCAGGUGCGAAAGCGUGGGGAGCAAACAGG